CCCUUAGAUGUUCUGGGCCGCACGCGUGCUACACUGAGUGGAUCAGCGGGUCAGGUUGCGCGAAAGUGUUUCCUAAUCUUGAAAUCCGCUCGUGAUGGGGAUUGACGGUUGCAAUUUUCCGUCAUGAACGAGGAAUACCUUGUAAGCGCGGGUCAUCAUCCCGCGCUGAAUACGUCCCUGCCCUUUGUACACACCGCCCGUCGCUCCUACCGAUUGAAUGGUCCGGUGAGGCUUUGGGAUCUGAGCGGAAAGAGCGUUUCGCUGUUUCUGCUCGGAAAACUCAGUCGAACCUUAUCAUUUAGAGGAAGGAGAAGUCGUAACA
rnacentral:rRNA from 1 species